GACGAACGCUGGCGGCGUGCUUAACACAUGCAAGUCGAACGGAAAGGCCCUGCUUUUGUGGGGUGCUCGAGUGGCGAACGGGUGAGUAACACGUGAGUAACCUGCCCUUGACUUUGGGAUAACUUCAGGAAACUGGGGCUAAUACCGGAUAGGAGCUCCUGCUGCAUGGUGGGGGUUGGAAAGUUUCGGCGGUUGGGGAUGGACUCGCGGCUUAUCAGCUUGUUGGUGGGGUAGUGGCUUACCAAGGCUUUGACGGGUAGCCGGCCUGAGAGGGUGACCGGCCACAUUGGGACUGAGAUACGGCCCAGACUCCUACGGGAGGCAGCAGUGGGGAAUAUUGCACAAUGGGCGGAAGCCUGAUGCAGCAACGCCGCGUGCGUGAUGACGGCCUUCGGGUUGUAAACCGCUUUCGCCUGUGACGAAGCGUGAGUGACGGUAAUGGGUAAAGAAGCACCGGCUAACUACGUG
rnacentral:rRNA from 1 species